UACGGAGGGUGCAAGCGUUAAUCGGAAUUACUGGGCGUAAAGCGUGCGCAGGCGGUUUGUUAAGUCCGUUGUGAAAGCCCCGAGCUCAACUUGGGAAUUGCAGUGGAUACUGGCAGGCUGGAGUACGGUAGAGGAAGGUGGAAUUCCCGGUGUAGCAGUGAAAUGCGUAGAUAUCGGGAGGAACACCAGUGGCGAAGGCGGCCUUCUGGACCAGUACUGGCGCUCAUGCACGAAAGCGUGGGGAGCAAACAGG
rnacentral:rRNA from 1 species